rnacentral:rRNA from 1 species
AUUGAACGCUGGCGGCAUGCCUUACACAUGCAAGUCGAACGGUAACAGGUCUUCGGAUGCUGACGAGUGGCGAACGGGUGAGUAAUACAUCGGAACGUGCCUAGUAGUGGGGGAUAACUACUCGAAAGAGUGGCUAAUACCGCAUGAGAUCUACGGAUGAAAGCAGGGGAUCGCAAGACCUUGUGCUACUAGAGCGGCCGAUGGCAGAUUAGGUAGUUGGUGGGAUAAAAGCUUACCAAGCCGACGAUCUGUAGCUGGUCUGAGAGGACGAUCAGCCAAAAUGGGACUGAGAAACGGCCCAGACUCCUACGGGAGGCAGCAGUGGGGAAUCUUGGACAAUGGGCGCAAGCCUGAUCCAGCAAUGCCGCGUGCAGGAUGAAGGCCUUCGGGUUGUAAACUGCUUUUGUACGGAACGAAAAGCCCCGGGUUAAUACCCUGGGGUCAUGACGGUACCGUAAGAAUAAGCACCGGCUAACUACGUGCCAGCCGCCGCAGUAA